GAAAUCAAGGUCAAUGACUCAGCAAAACUGCAACCCGGUGUAACAAUAUCAAUCUUUAAUGAAACUUGACAGGUUAGUAAUUGUAUACGUUUCCUGCGAGCGGGUUUCCAUAAUAAAGAUAAAUAAAUGAGUAAAUGAUGAAAUAAUUACCUUUAAAAGUUGGUUCGUUUAUAUUUAUAGUUAUUUAUAUAGUAAUUUAUAUUCAUACGUCUUCCUCUCGUAGUUGGCGAUCCCAAGUCCAUGUCUCUACUGACGUAAUUGAUCCGUCCUCGAUCCAACAUUUGGUGAGUAGUUCCACAUUGGAGAGUUAGAUAUACAAAAUAUUGAUAUAUAAUACAUAAUCUCUUUCUAAAUAUAACUUCAAUCACAAAAUGACAAUUUAUAUUAUAAUCUGGAAUAUAUCUGUGUCGUAUUGUAUAUGUUGUUAUGUUGUAUAUAAAAUCAAACUCAUAUGUAACUACAAAAUGGCCUCAAUAAAAUGGAUACCCGGGAGAGAAAGGGACGGUGAGCCAGGAAAGAUAGUAUAAACAAGAGAGAUUUAUAGUCAUGGCAGUCCCUGAUUGGACGUCCUCCCCCUCUGACGUCACAAUUAGGAUAUAAGCUGGGGCUGAGCCCAGACAAAGAGAUCCAGACAAGGAGACCCAGAUGAGGAAGUACCCAGACAGACACACCAAGAAAGUAGUCAUGUAGUCCAGAGCGGUCCCAGUCUCAUCCUUCCCGGGAACCAUCCCUAAACCGAUAUAACCAUGUUCCCAUGCGUGUGGUCUUCAUUUGUCUUCAGGCUAGUGCGCCUCCACUUCUGGCCCAUGACUGCAUGUUGGAUGAGGAGCCCACUGUGACCUUGUCGACUCCACUUUUUUUUUAAUAUUACAACAUAUAUAUAUAUUUGUUGUAAAGUAGUCGAUCCUGUAGGAUGACUGUAGUGUGUUGGUUAAAUGCAGUCGUUGUGGCCUCAAUGUUCUGAGUGGUUUCAGGUGUGAAUGUAUUACACCAAAGAACGAGAUAUGUUGGAUGUUGCCACAGAGAUGGCGAGAGAGUGAAGCCGACACCGGUCAGGGAUAUCUGUUGAGAGGGGUCUGUCAAUCAUCGUGUCUCAAAGCGGACUGAUCUGUUUGAGCAAGAAGGGGGCACACCUGGUACCCCGACAUGUUUUUCGGACCUUUUUUCUCUCCUGGCGCCGGCUGUCACUCACUCGAAAUUUUAUUUUUGUCGUUUAGGUAAUUACACUAUAACUAUAUAACACAUGGGAAUGUAAGAAUAUAUUGAAAUAUAUUACAGCAUAUAUAGUAUUGCAAAUGAUCCUGUCGGGUGUCUGUGGUGAUGAGGUUAUCCUGUCUGAUGACUAGUAUGGUAUUGUAACGACGCUUCUCAGCCGUCGAUGUUUGCGUUCAAGGUUUCUAAGAGAACAAUGUGGAUUCUUUGUAGAUACAGCUUAGUACAGUAUAUUUAUUAUUAGAGCUUUAAAGAGUAGAUUAAUAACUAUAUACAGUAGAUGUCUUCAUUGUCCGCCACCAGAGGGAUCCUCCUCGUCACCGUCUUCCCGGUUAGUCCAUACGGCCACACACCCGGAGCCCACUUCCCGUAGCCAACUUGCCGCGUCUGUUGUCACCGCUGUUCUCUGCGUCUGUCCUGCUCCCCCCCCCCCCCCCCCCCCCACAUUGGAAUGCCGUCCUGUCCUCCCCACACACAUGUGGGCCAUCCUUCCGUAGCUGUUGGAGUCCAUCCAUCUUUCCACAACUUCACCCUGGGAUCUCUGCCUCUCGGAUAUCUUGUCAUACAGUGAGGAGAGAAUUAUCUACAUUUCAGUAUGUUUGGUUAGAUGCAGUCGUCAUGGUAGCCACAAUGGUCAGAUUUUUUCAGGCGUGAAUGGAACAGCACAAAAGGACGAGGCAUGUUGGAUGUCACCUCAGAGAUAGCAGCCGGGCGCCCGUCGAGGAAGGUCUGAUCUAUUCUAGAGCCAGAGAGAGACUGUCGGUAAUCCGACUGUUUUCGGACCGACGGUGUAUUCGGAGACCUUUCUCCUGUCUGGGCGCCGGCUGUCACUCAAUAUAAUUUUAUUAUUCCGUUUUGUGUUACAUGAUGGCCAAACUGGCGAGUUGGAUUGUGUCUACAGUUUUUGUUAUUCCCUAACUAUAUUACAUAUGGGAAUAUUACGUAUUGAAAUGUAUUACAGCAUAUAUAUUUAUAAAUAUUGUAGCAAAAUAAGUAUUAUUUUAUGGAUGCUUAUUAAUUUUGAUAUUUAUUUUUGUUACUAUGUAAACUUCCCUCAUUGCCUAUCUGGUAUUUUAGGAAUAUUGAGUUGUUUUGGCCAUAAAUAAAUUGCUGUGUCAUCCUGAAGUUUGCCAUAAUUUUCUACGUCACGUUUUGGUGGAGAUGCUGGGUAGAUUAGGGAAGACAAACUGAAGAUUGUCGAGAAGACUUUGAAGCCAUGGGUGUUCCUAGACUCCAGGAUUCCACUGCCGUGUCAAAGCCAAGACUUCCUUCCAAUAGGUUACAAUUUUGUUGACACACAAGACGUAUAAAUCAUGAUACAGCAGUACAAUUAAGUCAACUUGUCUCUCUACGAACUAAGUCUCUAUAAACUUUAGGAAGGUUUAUCACUCGGCUGAUAUUAGAAUAUUAUUUUAUGCUCUUGGAUAGUGAAAUAAACAAUUUAAAAUUUCAUCAGAGAAACUUCGGCUAUGCAUUAAGAAAAGGAAGCAAAAUAAAUGGGAGUUCUCUGUAUACGGAAGUGGGGAACUGAGGCGGCUGGGGCAAUAAAACUGCGAUAUGGAUAGAAACAGAUUUGAGUAACGCCACAGAAGUGUCCAUUCACUGCAGGUGCAUGUACAAGCAUGUACUUGUAUCUAUAAAUUUAAUCAUGUUCAAUAAAAUGUUAUUGUAGUUAGGUACGUGUAUCCUGGGUAGGUUGUGAAUGUAGCAAAUGUGGCCUGAAGCAAAUCGGAAGCCUCAAUAAAUAUUUAACUCCUCCUUUAUCUUCCAGAAAGAAAGCUAUGUCGCCCAUGUUGAUUCAUUUCAACCUUGGACAAAUUAGAAUUGGUCUUGUUUUUAAUUUUUCUCCCGCUGAUGGGGGAUUAGGCCCGGAUUAAUUGAAAACAAAUAUAAGUAAUCUCUUCACAGCGAUUUUUAAUUUCAGUCACGUUGAUUGAGAAACUCUUAAUCCUGCCGCGCUGCCGCUUUAAUUCCUCUUCAAACGGAUCGAUGAUUGCGCAGGUUGGAGGAAUGAAUUCGCAGCUGAAGUCUUCCAAUUCAGUCCCACAGGCCCAGCUCGGAGAGCUCUCAGGAUAAACAAUACCUCUGUGCGACACAAUGACAUUUUUAUAUGCUAUGUUCUCUAUUGAACUGGCACACCUAUCUUCUAUGUAGCGGGAUGACAUAUCCUUUACGUGUAAGAUCCCCUAUGUGUGAAGGAAUAGCAGAUCUCCUAUGGGAUGGUAUGGCAGAUACUCUAUGGAACGUCAUGACAGAUUCCCUAAGCAAGGCGAUAUGACAGUUCUCCCAUGGGAUGGUGUGAGAGAUCUCCUAUGGGAUGGUGUGACAGAUCUCCUAUGGGAAGUAAAGAACACAUCCUAUAUAUGAAGGUAUGACAGAUUAUCUAUGGGAUGGUAUGAAAUAUACUCUAUGAGACGAAAUGACAGAUCUGCUAAGCACGGCGAUAUGAGAGCUCUCCAAAGGGGCGGUGUGACAGAUCUCCUAUGGGAAGAAAAUAACAUAUCUUGUAUAUGAAGGUAUUACCUAUCGGCUAUGAGAUGGUAUGACAAAUCCUUAAUGAGAGGGUAUGACUGAUAGAUUAUGGGAAGGUUAUGAUAGAUCCUCAAUAUGACGGUUUGACAGACACUCAAUAAGAAGAUAAGGUAGAUAAUCAAUGGGAAGGUAUGGGACUGUAUGACAGAUCUACUAUUUGACGGUAUGACUGUUCCUCCCUUGACAGAUCCUCUUUGGGAGGGUAUGGUAGAUCCUCUUUAUGGGACGUUAUGAUAAAUCUAUUUUUCUAUGGGAUGGUAUCACAGAAAUUUCAUGGGAAUGUAUGACAGAAUCUCCUUUGGACGAUAUGGAAGAUUCUCUAUGCGACGAUUUUACAGACCCUCUAUGCUAGGGCAUUACAGAUCUUUUAUGGGAGAUUAUGGAAAUUCCUCUUUGGGUCGAUAGGUUGAACCUCUAUGGGAGAAUAUUGCUGAUCCUCUAUUAUGGAAUGAUAUAACAUAUUAUAAAUGGUACGGAAUGAUAGAUCCUCGAUUUGAAGGUAUGGCAUAUCCUCUAUAGGGCGUUAUGAUAUUUCCUCUAUGAGAUGGUAUAACAGGUUAGACUUGCCGCAGGGGAUCCCCACGUGGUGUCAUAGUCCUAUACACUUCUAUUGGGUGUUCUCACCUUACUCCUGUAGUUACACCGCAGGUUAUAUUGCCGCGGGGGAUCCCCACGUGGUGUCAUAGUCCCCUCACUUCCCUGGGUGAUCUCACCUUACUGCUGUAGUUACACCGCAGGUUAUAUUACCGCGGGAGAUCCUCACGUGGUGUCAUAGUCCCCUCACUUCCUUGGAUGAUCUCACCUUCCUGCUGUAGUUACACCGCAGGUUAUAUUGCCGCGGGAGAUCCCCACGUGGUGUCAUAGUCCCCUCACUUCCCUGGGUGAUCUCACCUUCCUGCUGUAGUUACCCCGCAUGUUAUAUUGCCGCGGGAGAUCCCCACGUGGUGUCAUAGUCCCCUCACUUCCCUGGGUGAUCUCACCUUACUGCUGUAGUUACACCGCAGGUUUUAUUGCCGCGGGAGAUCCCCACGUGGUGUCAUAGUCCUCUCACUUUCUUGGGUGAUCUCACCUUACUGCUGUAGUUACACCGCAGGUUAUAUUACCGCGGGAGAUCCCCACGUGGUGUCAUAGUCCCCUCACUUCCCCCUGGGUGAUCUCACCUUACUGCUGUAGUUACACCGCAGGUUAUAUUACCGCGGGAGAUCCCCACGUGGUGUCAUAGUCCCCUCACUUCCCUGGGUGAUCUCACCUUACUGCUGUAGUUACACCGCAGGUUAUAUUGCCGCGGGAGAUCCCCACGUGGUUUCAUAGUCCCCUCACUUCCCUGGGUGAUCUCACCUUCCUGCUGUAGUUACACCGCAGGUUAUAUUGCCGCGGGAGAUCCUCACGUGGUGUCAUAGUCCUCUCACUUCCUUGGGUGAUCUCACCUUACUGCUGUAGUUACACCGCAGGUUAUAUUGCCGCGGAAGAUCCCCACGUGGUGUCAUAGUCCCCUCACUUCCCUGGGUGAUCUCACCUUACUGCUGUAGUUACACCGCAGGUUAUAUUGCCGCGGGAGAUCCCCACGUGGUGUCAUAAUCCCCUCACUUCCCCCUGAGUGAUCUCACCUUACUGCUGUAGUUACACCGCAGGUUAUAUUGCCGCGGGAGAUCCCCACGUGGUGUCAUAGUCCCCUCACUUCCCUGGGUGAUCUCACCUUACUGUUGUAGUUACACGCAGGUUAUAUUGCCGCGGGAGAUCACAACGUGGUGUCAUAGUCCCCUCACUUCCCUGGGUGAUCUCACCUUACUGCUGUAGUUACACCGCAGGUUAUAUUGCCGCGGGAGAUCCCCACGUGGUGUCAUAGUCCCCUCACUUCCCUGGGUGAUCUCACCUUACUGCUGUAGUUACACCGCAGGUUAUAUUGCCGCGGGAGAUCCCCACGUGGUGUCAUAGUCCUCUCACUUCCCUGAGUAUCUCACCUUACUGCUGUAGUUACACCGCAGGUUAUAUUGCCGCGGGAGAUCCCCACGUGGUGUCAUAGUCCCCUCACUUCCCCCUGGGUGAUCUCACCUUACUGCUGUAGUUACACCGCAGGUUAUAUUGCCGCGGGAGAUCCCCACGUGGUGUCAUAGUCCCCUCACUUCCCUGGGUGAUCUCACCUUACUGCUGUAGUUACACCGCAGGUUAUAUUGCCGCGGGAGAUCCCAACGUGGUGUCAUAGUCCCCUCACUUCCUUGGGUGAUCUCACCUUACUGCUGUAGUUACACCGCAGGUUAUAUUGCCGCGGGAGAUCCCCACGUGGUAUCAUAGUCCCCUCACU